UACAGAGGUCCCAAGCGUUGUUCGGAUUCACUGGGCGUAAAGGGUGCGUAGGUGGCUGGGUAAGUUUGAUGUGAAAUCUCCGAGCUUAACUCGGAAAUGGCAUUGAAUACUAUCUGGCUGGAGGUUUGGAGGGGGGACUGGAAUUCUCGGUGUAGCAGUGAAAUGCGUAGAUAUCGUGAGGAAGACCAGUGGCGAAGGCGGGUCUCUGGACAGUUCCUGACACUGAGGCACGAAGGCCAGGGGAGCAAACGGG
rnacentral:rRNA from 1 species